UUAGGGAUAGCUCAAUUGGCAGAGCGCCUGACUCUGAACCGGGAGGUUGAAGGUUCGAUCCCUUCUCCCUGGGC
rnacentral:tRNA from 1 species